rnacentral:lncRNA from 1 species
CGAGCGAAGCCGCGGAAAGAGACGAAGGACGCCUACGAAGGCCGCCGCGCCGCCUGAGGUCCUCUGAAGGCGAACGCUGAGGUAGCAGAGAGUGGAGGCAGUCACGGCAGAGUCACACGGGCGCGCCAGAAGGGCGUCUCACCAUGACCAGAAGACGAGCCACUGAUGUCGGAAAAAAGGCGCAUCUGAGGCCGAACUCCACGUCAAGACUGGACUGGGUUCCGCGUACGCAGUUGACGAGUCCCAGCAGUUCAGCGCUGACUUCUUUCUUUUCCACCUUUCGUUGUCAGAUCGCUCUGUGCGUCAUGCAGACAGUGUCUCGUUCUCUCUCCACGCUGCCGCCAUGGUGUCUGUCGCACACCCCUGCCUGGUCUUCUUUCUCGCCCAGCGUCUGUUUCCUCUCCACUCUCUCCCUCCUCGCUUUUCCCCUCCUCUCGCUCCACUCUGCUUGCCUCCCUUCGUCUCUCGCUGCCCUCUCCGUCGUCCUGCCAAGGCGACGCGGACGCAGCCUGCUCGUUUCGCCUCCUUCGGCGUCGAACUGCGUUCCUCCCGACUGUCAUGCGCGACGCGAGCUGAGACGCAGAAUGCAUGAUUGGUUGGCGCGUCUCGCCCACACGGCAUAUGAAGGACCUCAAGCGAGUUCUUGUUGAAUUCAAAAGAAUUCUAGAUAAAGCGACGCAUGAGUGUGCGACAAUGGAGACGAUCAACUGAGGCUGGAACGUCUGCGCCUGAAGGCGCCCUUGCAGAUCCACUCUGGCAGCGAAGGCAUGAACAGCGCGCGUCUCUUCCUUCCCUCCAGACUUCUCAUAAAACUUCCGAACGCGUGGUUCGUCCUUGUUUUCCUUCGCGUUCUGUUUCUUUUCCUCUCCCGGGUCUCUCGCUUAGUCUCGCUCCUGCUCUCCUUCGUCUUCGAAAGGCAAUCCUGCAGCAGUGGUGGCGUCCAUGUCGAUGUCGUCUUGAGGCGCCUCUCGUCUCUUGUCCAGAGACCCUGUGUGAAGUUUGGCAUCUUUUUCAGCAGCCUGUCUCUUUUCUCUCUCGUCCUUCCACUGCAAGACUCCGUUCGCUGCAUGCACAAAGACUCUGUUGUCCUCGUUCUCUCGCUCGUCGCCUCCUGUUUUCGUUGCUGGUGCGCGUUCCGGAAAACAUGGCUCGGCCCAAGCCUCCCCAGGCAGAGAGCAGCCAGGCGGCAGAAACACCGAGAACGCAUGUGCAUUCGUCCACAAGUCAUCUGCUGCAUCUGGUUUUUCUUCGUUUGCACCGCAUGCGUUGAGUUUCUCUUCACUCUCGUUCGUUUCUGGAAAGCGCCGCACAACUCGCCGCUCCCCUCCGGGCGCCUCAGACAUUCUUUGUUCGGGACUGCAUGCGCGAGGCGCCUCGUCGGCGCCUCCCGCGCCCCAGGUCUUCGUCGGCGAGUACGCACCAUCGCACUGAGGAAACCGGGGAGAUGAAGCAGCAGACAAGCCGCGUCUCUCGCCGCCACCGUCACCUUCAUCUCCCCCGUAUGCAUCUGUUUCUUCUCGUCGGGAGUUGUGGCGGAUCGCCUCCGUCGAAUGGGUCUCUUCGUCUCCGUCCUGACGUAGCCGUCGUUUCUCUCCCCUCGGUGGACAGCUCUCGGCUGUCGCCUUGGCACUUGGUUCUUCCCAGUUCUCUUCGCUUCUUCUGGAUGUCUCUGCCGUCUCGCGGAAACGUCUCCUCUCCCUUCCUCGUUGUCUGGCAGCCUCGCGGCUUUCUCGGCACGCCUCCACCUGUCGGCGAAUCUCAGACAGAAAUUGCUGCAGCUGGCAAAAGAACGCCGCGCCUUCUUCUUGCUCGUCCUGCAUUUCCAUCAAGACGUUUAGCCGCACUGACAGACUUGAGAAGACGGCGUUCGCCUCCAUCCGCAGUGCCUCGGAGGCGCGCGCCUUCUCCUCUCGCGUAAAAAGACACCAUGCCCCCUCGGAAACAGACAACGUCUCCCAGGACGUCGUCGCCUCUUCUAGUUGCGAUCCGUUCUUGGGCGGCGCCAAGAGUUGCUUGCUCCUCGCGAAGGAGAACAGAGUCGAAGAGUUCCCCUUCGUUCCGAGCUCGCAGGAGCAGGCUGUGUACGGCGUCGAGGUCAACGUCCUGAGAGCGAAACCAAAGAAAACAUGUUUCAAAGAGUCAUUUUUCUCCUUGGUUUCUGUGUCUCAGCUGGCUGACGGCUCUCUCUUCUCCUUUUCUGCCUUCUCGGUCCUCGCGGAUGGGUCUGCAAACGUCGUCAUUAUUUCCAGCCGUCUACAGUGUGCUUGGUUCUGUCCUGAGAGUCGCGCGUUUUCUCUUUGUUCCCUGUCUAAUUGCUCUUCUCGGUCUCUUCGGUCCUCUGCUCUGCGUUCCCCGCCGUCCUUCUCCUUCUUCUGUGUCACGACGUCUUGUGCUCUGUUCUCGCUCUUGUCGACCAUGUCUGUCUUCCUCUCAUUUGUGCUUGUCCGCGCCUCUCUCUCUCACCUCCUGAAUCCUGUUUGCUUCGCUUUGGAGAGCGUGGACGGCCGCCUCCAGGUUGGCUAGAGCCUGGUGUGUCAACUGCAGCUUCUCUUCUCUUUCUCGGAUCCUCGCGUCCCUCUCGGCCGCCCUCUGCGUGCGUUCUGUCUCCGUCUGUCGGCUCUGCAUACACGCCUCGAGCCUGGGGAGGAGACAGGCAAGAACCUCUGAGGGUGAGGCAGCUUUCAGAGUCGCGCGCAUGCAGAGCGCAGAGCCGCCGGAGUUGCGCGGAGCCUGCGCGCUUGAAGGGGGAGAACCGACCGCCGAAGGUGACGAGACGCGCGACGGCGGAGAGCGUAACGAAGAACAGAGGGGAACAGGGAGCACUGCCUCUCUCAGCUUCGCCUCCAGAGAAAGAUUCGCGCUCUGCGCUUGCUGAAGACGGAGCAAAGACGAGGGAAGACCAACCAAGAAAACGCGAUUCUCACAAACAGGAAAAGCGUCGACAGUCCACCCGACACACUGGAGAACGGUGACAUGCAUGUCGCUUCUGGAUGCUUCAAAACGCCCUGACUGUUCCCUCUCUCUGCAUGCACCUUUGCUGCGAUAUUUGUCAAGAGACACCCGAAACUGGGAAGCAAGUUCUGAGGCGGGCACCAGCAGCAUGAGGCUCUCCUCGUCUGACAGUCGAUCUCCGCUGUCGAGAUCUGAUUCGUUGCAGUUUCCUCGCGCGUCUGGCGUCCGUAGCCGUUCCUUUUUGUCGCUGGACGGGUCGCCGCUCUCCUCGCGAAAAGCCUCGUCGGCUGCUUCUUCAGCCUCCAAAAGGCGUUCGAUGUCAGCGAGUUGCCUCUGCGUCGCCACAGAGGCCUGCGCGAGGAGCGCCUGCUGUUCCUCGUAAGCGUCGAAGCCGCCUGCAGCUUGGACUGCCUGAAAAAGGACAUCCAAACCAAAACGCAGGAAUAGGCAGAGAUCCACUGCAUAGGAAGAACCUCUUCGUAUACCUGGCAUUCAACUCGAGCUAUAUGCCGACACCCAUACGCGUACAAACAUCGUUAUAUAUAUAUAUAUAUGUACAUAUAUAUUAUACGAAGAUAUAAGUACAUAUACGCAUGUUUGAGUGUGGGCAUCGCUGUGUGCCUGUCCACGACUAAACGAGUUUUUAAAGUGGAUGCACGCAGCGAUUUAUCAUGGCGUGAGUUGAGGCUUCAUUGCGCAUGUGGUGAGUUGCGGAAGAAGGACGAAACGCAGCAGCGGACAGAAGGCAUCCGCAAAUCGACAGGGUCCCGAGGCAGGAGCGACGCCAGCUGCGAGACGCGAGUCAGCUGCGAGACGCGAGCCAGCUGCGAGACGCGAGUCAGCUGCGAGACGCGAGUCAGCUGCGAGACGCGAGCCAGCUGCGAGACGCGAGUCAGCUGCGAGACGCGAGCCAGCUGCAUGCACGGUCCAGUGGUGCGUUGAAGACCGUGGCAAAGUGCGAGUCGUGGACGCUCUCUGUGAGCACAAAGCGAGCAACGCAGGACCCAGAUGGAGACGAAGACGAGCGCCUGUCAAAGAGAAACCGAGGGCAGUACCCUGAUCUGAUUCCAGAGGUGGGGAGGCAGUUCGAGAGUCAAGUCGGCGCGGGGCUGGUUGCGAACUUUCUUCUCCUCUUGAAGCUUCAGAGCGACCUCCCGCAACUGGUCGGGCAGCUGGCGCGCGAGAAGAAAAGACGAAACGCCAGAAAGCUCCUCAGACACGCGCUGCUUCAAGUCCCGAACGCCUGCCCGAUAUCUGCAGAUGGCGAAGAAGAGAAGUGACAGGAAAGAAGGACAAGAGACCAGAUCUGCGGGGGAGCGAGCGGCGCGCGGCGAGGCGUUGAAGGCGAGAGCAGAAGAGACACGAAAAACGAGAAGAGAGAGAUACGGCGAGACAGAGAGAGGUGAAUUGAACGCGAGCUCAAAAGCGAGAGGGAGAGCGACGAACCGGACCAACAUCGAGAGACAUCACACCACAGAAUCGAGCGCGAAGCAAAACGAGGUCGGGGGAGGGCAACGCAGCCAAAAACCGACGCAAACAACUCGUUAAAUGGGGACAGCGCUGAGACCCGCAGCUCCAUGAGUAGACUCUGAACGCAUCGAGGACAGACUCCGUUCCCCAAGAGCAUAGAAAAAGGACGCCAGACACAAAGUUACCUCGUGGCGUACUCCUCGCCCCUUAGGCGAACAGACGUCGGAAGAAGCUGACAGAGUUGCGCCGCGGCAUGCGCGUCCACGUCCUGCAAAUCCUGAAUGGCGACCGAAGAAAGCUCGACGCAGCACGCAUGCUCCAGAGGCGUCAAACGCGACGGAUCCGGUACGGCCUCCAGAUACACCUGAAUCCAGAGGCAAGUGCGACAACGAAAGACUGGAAAGUAAAUAAAACAAAGGGCGCCCGGUCGCGCGCUCUCCGCGGUGCCGCGAAGCCAGCAGCGCUAUUUUAUCAGCUCCACGUUCACCGUCUUUGACAUGGUGGAGGGAGUCGGCUCUCUCGCGUGGACUGUCGUUUUCACCCUUUCUAGGCAUUUUUUUUUCGCCUGCGUUCCACUUGAUCCUCUGCGACACUUGGCACUGUGACCCCAACAUCUCAAAGAAACUCCCGAGGCUUUUCUUCUGCCGGCCGCCCGCAAGUUCUCAAACCCCAGCAACACAGCCGAAGCCGCUCGGACGCCAUUUCACUUCCUGGACGCAACUGUCUCCGUGUACAAGCCGAUGGGCGUGGACGCGGCCGCGCAGGCUCCACAGGGCCUGCAGGGCCCGGCGUCAAGACGGUGACGACGAACAGCCGCUUGCCGUUGUGCUCUGCUCACCACGGCGUUGUCGCGUUCCAGUUGCUCGUGUGUCUGGACGAUGUGAGCAAAGAGACCGCUGAGGUUGCAUUUCAGCGAAUGCGCUUCGACGAGUGCAGCAGCUUGCGCAAGAAACUCCCGACAAACGCGAAGGCGCGCUACCAGGCGGCCGUAGCCUUCACCUGCCGAGACAACGCCGAGAGCAGAGAAUCGCUCAAAAGACAAGAGAAAGCCGCCAGGGACAUGUGCGUAGAAAACCCAUGAAACUGUUGAAAGUACCCUAGCAAACGCAAGACGCCACGACGUGCACAGAAUCGAUUGCUGAUCCUGGGUCGCGACUGAACAGCAUGCAGGCCAGCUGCAAGCGAGAUGAAAGCCGACGCAGUAAAAGUGAAAACGCAGAAGACGACAGUGAAAACGGAGAAGAAAAUGUGAAGUCACAGGCGGACCCAGCGCGGGCGACACGACGACAGAUACAGCGGGAGAGAGAAAGAGAGGAAAGGAGAGCGAGAGAGAAUGAAACAAAGGACGGAGAAGACUUUGAGACCCUCACCUUCCAUUUCGACUUGUUCUUGUUCGUACCGAGCGAGCUGAAAGUGAGCCGCGGCGAGGUAGGACAACUCUUGGCUUCUUGAAAGAAAACAGGAACAAGCAACUCUCAAGAAAAAACGCAUGACGGCCGCCUACCACAGGCGGCAGGGGAGAGACCACCGCGGCGGGGGAAUGCAUGCAGAGACCUUUCCACGCGUGAGGCAAGCGAGCAGCAAUGCCAAGAGAAAAAAAGCAGAAGGCGCGGCAAGAACAGAGAGCACACAACGAUGAGCGAGAACAGAGAGGAGUCAAGAUCCGAAGGAGCAAAGACGCCGAAGACAGGACAACUCAUCCACGAACAGAGGUCGUGAGACUGCAGCGCGUUAGGAGGGCGUUCUGUCGAGACAAAGCAGGCACAGAGAAUUGUCGGAUCACGCGGUUCGCAUGCAGAUCCGACCUUCAUUGGUCCUCACUUGAGCCAUGUCGCCAGCACACUGGCUUCUGUUUGUGGGCGAGAGUCUGCAGCGUCUCCACCGGUCGAUGCAGAGAGAGGAGACUGCAGCAGCAAACCUGGGAGAGAGAGAAACAACCGGAAGGAGACGCGCGAGAGAAGAGUGGAAGAGAACAGAGGGGAAGCGACGAAGGCGACAUGUGUAGCAAAGAGACUGAGAGAAAAAGGCUUCCAUCGGAAGUCGAAGGAACGGCCUUUCUCCGCAACGUCCGUGCCUCGUUUUUGCCGUCCUCUGCUCCUUCGGCAUCUCGGCCGAUUACCGCCAUACAGAAACGAUCGCCCAGGAGACGAACGAACUCUUCCACUGGCGUACUAUUAAACAUAUCCCAAUAUAGUCAAGCACUUCGAUACGCAUGCACUGGCGAACCAAUGCAAUCGUUUGUUGCUGCUCGCACACGGCCCGGAACGCAUGCAAAAACGGCGACUCGCGUCCACAUCGAUUCGCACCUACACAGAUGUAAACGAGUUGAAACACAGAAGGGUACUUUCAGAUAUGCGCA